AUACGGAGGGUCCGAGCGUUAUCCGGAAUCAUUGGGUUUAAAGGGUCCGUAGGCGGGAAUCUAAGUCAGUGGUGAAAUCUUGCAGCUCAACUGUAAAAUUGCCAUUGAUACUGGGUUUCUUGAAUUAGUGUGAAGUGGUUAGAAUGUGUAGUGUAGCGGUGAAAUGCAUAGAUAUUACACAGAAUACCAAUUGCGAAGGCAGAUCACUAACACUGUAUUGACGCUGAGGGACGAAAGCGUGGGGAGCGAACAGGAUUAGAAACCCGGGUAGUCC
rnacentral:rRNA from 1 species